UUUAUUUCGCUGGAAAUUAUAAUGGAUCGUUCUUUGGAAACGCUUCUCUUCAGUGAAUCGAUCAAACGGCUCGGUUCCCGGUUUGCAUCGUUUCGCGAUUCAGAGUGAUUCAACUCGGGCGGCUCGAAAAGAGUUUGACGCUACCGAGCGUGAUAGGAAACUUCGAGAAGGAUAAAGAAGCGCAUUGAACUUAUAUACAGUUUGCUUGAAAGCGAACCUACAAGUCCACGUUUUCGUUUCCCAGCGAUGAAGAUUCAUUGGGACCAACACGCGCACGUGCGUCCUCUAAUGCAGACAUGACAUCAUCAGACGUGACUCUGUCAGAAACGUGUGUGGAAACACAGUCCAGAUCUGUUCCUCACGCCUGGGUUUUUCAACCGUUCCGGUCGGCAAAGAAUGUCAGAUCAUCAGAGAAAAUACCACGGUAAUACUAGACAGCGCAGACGAGAUUGAGGGAAAAAGGUCAACAUGUGUUGGUUCAUCAGCAGCAUAACAGCGCAAUGUGCCAGAACACUGACACCACACGGAGAGAGAGGGAGAGAGAGACAGGCCUAAAUCAUCACCCUUUUCAUGAAAGAGACUGAACAGACUGUCGACGGGGAGAGGGCCACGUAAGAAGGUUUUCUCAGGCCAGGAGAGAGUUUCAGAUUAGAACAUCUGGAGUUUCAUGUUGAAACGGCAUCGUUCUCCCACCGAGACCCGAGUGAAACCAUUAGGCCAAUGAAGACAGAAGAGCAAGUUUGACUGCGCCGACGCACGCAGCUUUCCGGUACGCUCUUUAAUCACCGCUUAUCUGCAGGAGCACAGUUAAACACCUUCCUCUCCCUCCUGUUGAAAUCUACAUCACUCCCACAAGCCUCGGCCCUUCAUCUCUCUCUCCCUUUAAUGUAAUGUCAUUGUUUUCAGUUGUACUUUGUUUCCUCUCUCUUUUUCCCCAAGUUUGAGAAAACAGCCUGCGCCGCUGAUAUGUGUGCCAACUAUGACAAAAGCGCUGCUGAGGAAUGUUGCCGUGUGUCUAUAUGAUAGAAUGCUGGGUAAAUAUAGCUGUCGUUUUCAUACGGGUCUGUUUCUGCACCAUUGUUUUCGCUGACAGAAUGAAAACACAAGGCCCAAACAGAUGCAGAAGAAUACGGUACACCGUGCAUACAUUCAGUCAUCUAUUUUCUCUUUUUGUGUGUUCUGUCUAGCGUUUUAUUGACCGUUACAAUUAUAUAGUUCGAAAAGGCUUUGCGGCAAUUAUAGUGAGAAGAAUUAUUUUUAGCUACUUUUAAUCAAAAAGCGCAUUUUAAAGGGAGUUUGUGCACAUGUAUUAAAUAUAUAUUAUAAAAAAUAUAUUCAGAUGUUCGUUUUUUUUUUCUUUAUCUUCUUAACUGCUAUUAGGUGUAAAAAAUUAA